UUCACCCAUUAUUCUGAGUAUUUUUUUAGUAGUCGACUUUGAGAAAGGUGAUUUAAUUUCUUUUCAGAUCUACGAAACAAACGGUAUUUUUUUCUCAAAGCAAAGAAGGAGAAAGGUUUGGAGGAAAAUAUGGCACCGAAGAAAACGACAGAGAAAGGUUACUCUGGAUCGGUGAAUGCAUGUGUCGUCAUGUCUGGAAAAAGAAGAUAUGUAGAAAAUUAUAGUAUAGUAAAUAUUUUUAGUGCAACUAUUUAUGUAAGAUUACUAUAGUAUUUCAGAUAUAGUAUCUUCUCACUUUUGUAUUUUUAUACUAUUUCUAUGAAAAUGAACAAUCUGCUAUGAUCUUCAAUUUCGAUAUUUCUCUUUUUUUUGUCGUGUUCAUCCAUCAAUAAUAAACUAGUUUCAUGUUC